rnacentral:rRNA from 1 species
GACAGAGGAUGCAAGCGUUAUCCGGAAUGAUUGGGCGUAAAGCGUCUGUAGGUGGCUUUUUAAGUCCGCCGUCAAAUCCCAGGGCUCAACCCUGGACAGGCGGUGGAAACUACCAAGCUGGAGUACGGUAGGGGCAGAGGGAAUUUCCGGUGGAGCGGUGGAAUGCGUAGAGAGUCCGGAAGAACACCGGUGGCGAAGGCGGCCUGCUGGGCAGUGCUGACACUGAGGCGCGACAGCGUGGGGAGCAACAGG